GACGUAGGGCGCGAGCGUUGUCCGGAUUUAUUGGGCGUAAAGAGCUCGUAGGCGGCUUGUCGCGUCGUCCGUGAAAACCUGGGGCUCAACCCCAGGCUUGCGGUCGAUACGGGCAGGCUAGAGUUCGGUAGGGGAGACUGGAAUUCCUGGUGUAGCGGUGAAAUGCGCAGAUAUCAGGAAGAACACCCGUGGCGAAGGCGGCUCUCUGGUACGUGACUGACGCUGAGACGCGAAAGCGUGGGGAGCAAACAGG
rnacentral:rRNA from 1 species